AUUGCUACCACAGCAUUCUGCAGCGAUACACCAUCCCAUCUGGUUUGCGCUUAGUGGGACUAUCAUUAUGAGAGGACAUCAAUGCAUUAUGUGCUAGUCUUGAAUUCAACCAACGUCAGAUUGAUGAUCUAAGGAAAGAGAACACGGAGCUGAAAGGUGCUGUAGACUCUAUUCAUAGCAAGGUGGAGGUGGUGCAAAGGGAGAACAAACAACUUAAAGAAACAUUGCUUGAUGUACAGUGUCGAUCAAUGCGGAACAAUCUAAUAUUUACAGGGAUACCGGAGAAUGCCAACAGCAGAGGCUAUGAGGACACAGUCCGAGACUUUAUGUCAACUCAACUAAAACUGCCCACUGAUGUUGUGCGUAAUGCCACUUUCUCCAGAGUCCAUAGAAUAGGCAAGGCCUCUGGAAAUAGGCCACGGGCUAUUAUUGCAUGUUUUGAUAAAUUUAAGCAAAAGGAAAUGAAGAAGAACAUGGAGAGAGAACUCAGAAACACUGAUUUUGGAAUGAAUGAUCACUUCCCCACCGAGAUCAUUGAAAGGAGAAAAAAACUAUAUCCCAUCAUGAAGGAAAAGCGUUGCCUGAAUCAACGAGUUUCCAUGGUGAUGGAUAAACUUUAUAUCAACAGGCAAUUGUGUCAGGACUCUAGAAUAACUUUCUGGUUAUUUUAAUUCAAUGUUUAAAACUGAGUUUGUGUGUUGUAGUGUAUCAUGACAACUUCAACUAUAAUGAAUAUAUGCUAUAUUGAUCUUCACUUGAUAAGGAAAGGGCUGCAUAUAGCUCAGGUUAAUGUAUGUAGCCUUCCUAACAAAAUACAUGAGGUUUUUAACUUGGUCAACAUAAAUAAUAUUCAUAUUUUAGCUUUGACCGAAACACAUUUAGAUGCAUCUGUAAAUGAUGGGCAGAUGAACAUUCAAGGAUAUAGUCUACUGAGAAGGGACAGGAACAGGAAUGGCGGGAGUGUUGCACUGUAUAUUCAGAAUCAUAUACCUUUUAAGAGGAGGGAUGACCUUAAUGUAGGUCAAAUAGAGGCACUAUGGGCUCAAAUACAUCUGCCUCACCAGGCACCCAUAUUUGUAGGAUGUGUGUAUAGACCUCCGAGCUCUACGGUGUCCUAUCUGGAUGACUUAUGUACUGGGUUUGACCAGGCCACAGAUAGCAACAGAAAUGUAUUUAUCUUGGGUGAUUUUAAUAUAAAUUGGAAGGAUCACAAUGAUUUGAAUAGAACUAAAUUGAUGAGAUAUGCUAAGAACUGUGGUUUGAAACAAAUGGUUAAUGAUACUACUAGAUCUUUAAUUAAGUUGGGUCAUCGUUGAGACACAUGCAUUGAUCUGAUUUUCUGUAAUAUACCAUUGCAAUGCUUAAAAGCCAGGUUAAUGCCAGUGGGCUGGAGAGACCAUAAUAUUGAAACCAUGAACACCAAGGUUCCAAAGAAACCCCCUAGGAUUGUGGUCAAAAUACAUUUUAAAACAUUUAACCAUGAGUUAUUUCUAAAUGAUUUGGCUGCUGUACCCUGGGAGCUGAUUUAUCUAGAGGAUGAUUUAAAUCACGCUACAGAAUGUUUUAUUGAUUUGCUCACUGAGGUAAUGGGCCAUCAUGCCCCUAUAAGAAAGAGUACAGUUGGUGCUCGUCCAUCUCCAUGGAUUGAUGAUGAACUGGGUGAGGCUUUUUCUCAAAGAAAUAUGAAAAAAGUCUUAGCAGCCAAGUCAAAAUUAGAAAUUGAUGAACAGAAUUAUAGAACAUUACGUAAUUGUGCAGUUAAAAUGAAUCGAAAGAAAAAAAUGUUAUUUUACAACAAUGCUUUAAUUGAUUGUAAAAAUGAUUCUAAAAAGGUAUGGAACACAGUUAAGGGCUUACUUGGUACAUCUAUCUCAUCAGGCCCAUCUAGUAUGGAGGUUGACGGGAGAAUAAUAACAAAACCAGUUGAUAUUGCCAUUUUUUUGCAGAUUUUUUUACACAGAAAAUGUAAUUACUGAGCAACAAUGUAGACAUACAUUCUUUCAAACAAGCUAUUGUCCAAUGGAUUGAUGAUCAUAUUAUGAGCAAUAAGAUCUGCUCUCUGAGUCUACAAACGGUGUCAGUGGAGGAGGUGUUUGCUUCACUGUGCUGCUCCCCAGAUUGCAGUUCCACUGAGAUACAUAUUUAAUUGGUCACUGGAAAAGGGAAUGUUUGCAAAUGUAUGGAAGCAUGCGAAACUGUGUCCUAUUCCGAAAGACAGCAAAAAAAACAUUACUCCUGCCAAUAGUCGACCAAUUAGUCUACUCCCUACACUCAAGAUAUUGGAGGGUAUUGUGAGCAGACAAAUGUGGGAGUACAUGGAAAAGAAUGAUCUGAUUACAGCCAAUCAGCAUGCUUAUCGCAAAAACCAUUCCACUACCACUGCAUUGGUUGACAUGACUGACCAGUGGCUCAAUGCUAUGGAUAGUGACAAAUUUGUAGGUGUACUAUUUUUAGAUUUCAGUGCAGCAUUUGAUUUAGUAGAUCUUGAAAUAAUUUUGACAAAAUGAAUGCAUUAUGGUUUUAAGGGGGUAGCAUUGCAUUGGGUACAGUCAUAUCUAACUGACAGGAAACAGUCCACCUAUAUUAAUGGUUCAUUUUCUUCCCCUAAUGUGUUAAACUGUGGAAUACCGCAUGGUAGCUGCCUUGGGCCACUUCUUUAUUUAAUAUAUACCAACGACCUUCCAUAUGCCUUGGUUGAAACUCAAUCUACUAUAUUUGCAGAUGAUACUACAAUUUAUGCAGCAAGAGAAUCAGUUCAACAGGUACAGCAGGCUUUACAAGGAGAUUUGGAGAAUAUCAGGAAGUGGGUUUGCCAAAACAAACUUGUUUUAAACACCAAGAAAAUCAAAGUUAUGUUGGUCUGUUCAACUAGGAAAAGGCAAAAACAGCAUGGGAUACAAUUAAGCAUGGGAGGAGUACAAAUUGAAGAAGUGGCAGAAACCAAACUAUUGGGAGUGCAGCUAGACAACUGCUUAUCAUGGUUGUCUCAAAUAACUAAUAUAUUAUUAAAACAGCAUGCAUAAUCAGAAGGAUAGCUAAAUAUUUACCAGGACAAAUUAUUCAGCAAAUAAAACAAGCAUUAAUUGAGAGUCAGGUGAACUACUGUUCGGUGGUCUGGGAAAUGCAUCAUCAAGUGAAGUUUGGAGGCUGCAGAAUGCACAGAAUAAAGCAGCAAGGAUUGUUUUAAGGUGGAGAUAUGGUUCUUCUGUUGCAGUCAUGCUCAGUGUUCUUGGUUGGUCAUCAAUCGACAAGGACAAUGACCCAAAACACACCUGCAGGCUGUGUAAGGGCUAUUUGACCAAGAAGGAGAGUGAUGGUGCUGCAUCAGAUGAGCUGGCCUCCACAAUCACCUGACCUCAACCCAAUUGAGAUGGUUAGGGAGGAGUUGGACCGCAGAGUGAAGGAAAAGAAGCCAACAAGUGCUCAGCAUAUGUGGGAACUCGUUCAAGACUGUUGGAAAAGCAUUCCUUAUAAAGCUGGUUGAGAGAAUGCCAAUAGUGUGCAAAGCUGUCACCAAGGCAAAGGGUGGCUACUUUGAAGAAUCUAAAAUAUGAAAUAUAUUUUGAUUUGUUUAACGCUUUCUUGGUUACUGCAUGAUUCAACAUGUGUUAUUUAUUUCAUAGUUUUGAUGUCUUUACUAUUAUUAUAAAAUGUAAAAAUAAAGAAAAACACAUGAAUGA